AAUCCCUAGAACUCGCGAACAACUUUACCCUCGCAUUCCUAUAUUACCCUCUUGUACGGUUGUGGGGUAUUCACUGAGGUCGGGACAAUCAGCCGUCGUGCUGAAUGAUUACUUCUUGUGAGGGCAGCCUAGUGAACUUUUUCCUGUUUUUCACGAUACCGCAAAAGUCGAAAAUUUUGUGUUGAAUUUUCGUCAUCCCGAGCGAAUAGCUUUCAAUCCUAUCGAAGGCGUCUUUCCUGCCGCCAACAACUCCAAUCAAUCUCAUCUUAUUCUCCCAACGAUUUAAGCCAAUUUAAAGAAAAUGGCCUUUGGACCUCCGCGUGGACGGGGCGGAGCACCCAGAGGGCGUGGAGGUGAUCGUGGGCGUGGUGGACGUGGUGGGAGAGGUGUGUAUUCAUAACCAUUUCCCUUUUUUUGAGGAAAUUUCCGUUGCUGUUGGAAUGGACCUGUGUGCUGGUUUGCUGUGAUGCGGUCCCGCUAUUUGCGCCUUUUCGCUCUGAAACGU
rnacentral:sRNA from 2 species